rnacentral:rRNA from 1 species
AUUGAACGCUGGCGGCAUGCCUUACACAUGCAAGUCGAACGGUAACAGGUCUUCGGAUGCUGACGAGUGGCGAACGGGUGAGUAAUACAUCGGAACGUGCCUAGUAGUGGGGGAUAACUACUCGAAAGAGUGGCUGAUACCGCAUGAGAUCUACGGAUGAAAGCAGGGGAUCGCAAGACCUUGUGCUACUAGAGCGGCCGAUGGCAGACUAGGUAGUUGGUGGGAUAAAAGCUUACCAAGCCGACGAUCUGUAGCUGGUCUGAGAGGACGAUCAGCCACACUGGGACUGAGACACGGCCCAGACUCCUACGGGAGGCAGCAGUGGGGAAUUUUGGACAAUGGGCGAAAGCCUGAUCCAGCAAUGCCGCGUGCAGGAUGAAGGCCUUCGGGUUGUAAACUGCUUUUGUACGGAACGAAAAGCCCUGGGUUAAUACCCUGGGGUCAUGACGGUACCGUAAGAAUAAGCACCGGCUAACUACGUGCCAGCAGCCGCCGUAA